rnacentral:rRNA from 1 species
GGAAAAGAAACCAACAGGGAUUGCCCCAGUAACGGCGAGUGAAGCGGCAACAGCUCAAAUUUGAAAUCUGGUCCCUAGGGCCCGAGUUGUAAUUUGUAGAGGAUGCUUUUGGCAAGGUGCCUUCCGAGUUCCCUGGAACGGGACGCCAUAGAGGGUGAGAGCCCCGUCUGGUCGGAUACCGCGCCUCUGUAAAGCUCCUUCGACGAGUCGAGUAGUUUGGGAAUGCUGCUCAAAAUGGGAGGUAUAUGUCUUCUAAAGCUAAAUAUUGGCCAGAGACCGAUAGCGCACAAGUAGAGUGAUCGAAAGAUGAAAAGCACUUUGAAAAGAGGGUUAAAAAGUACGUGAAAUUGUUGAAAGGGAAGCGCCUAUGACCAGACUUGGGCCCGGUGAAUCAUCCAGCGUUCUCGCUGGUGCACUUUGCCGGGCACAGGCCAGCAUCAGUUUGGCUUGGGGGAAAAAGGCUUAGGGAAUGUAGCUCCUCGGAGUGUUAUAGACCUUUGCAUAAUACCCUGGGCUGGACUGAGGUUCGCGCAUCUGCAAGGAUGCUGGCGUAAUGGUCAUCAGCGACCCGUCUUGAAACACGGACCAAGGAGUCGUCUUCGUAUGCGAGUGUUCGGGUGUAAAACCCCUACGCGUAAUGAAAGUGAACGCAGGUGAGAGCUUCGGCGCAUCAUCGACCGAUCCUGAUGUUCUCGGAUGGAUUUGAGUAAGAGCAUACGGGGCCGGACCCGAAAGAAGGUGAACUAUGCCUGUAUAGGGUGAAGCCAGAGGAAACUCUGGUGGAGGCUCGCAGCGGUUCUGACGUGCGAAUCGAUCGUCAAAUAUGGGCAUGGGGGCGAAAGACUAAUCGAACCUUCUAGUAGCUGGUUU